UACGUAGGAUGCAAGCGUUGUCCGGAGUUACUGGGCGUAAAGGGCGCGCAGGCGGUAUACCAAGUCUGAUGUGAAAUAUCCCGGCUUAACCGGGAAGGGUCAUUGGAAACUGGUAAACUAGAGUGCAGGAGAGGUUAGCGGAAUUCCCGGUGUAGUGGUGAAAUGCGUAGAGAUCGGGAGGAACACCAGUGGCGAAGGCGGCUAACUGGCCUGCAACUGACGCUAAAGCGCGAAGGCUAGGGGAG
rnacentral:rRNA from 1 species